rnacentral:rRNA from 1 species
UACGGAGGGGCUAGCGUUGUUCGGAAUUACUGGGCGUAAAGCGCACGUAGGCGGCUCUUUAAGUCAGAGGUGAAAUCCUGGGGCUCAACCCCAGAACUGCCUUUGAUACUGAGGAGCUUGAGUCCGGGAGAGGUGAGUGGAACUGCGAGUGUAGAGGUGAAAUUCGUAGAUAUUCGCAAGAACACCAGUGGCGAAGGCGGCUCACUGGCCCGGUACUGACGCUGAGGUGCGAAAGCGUGGGGAGCAAACAGG